rnacentral:lncRNA from 10 species
GCUGAGGGUCACCUCAAGCCCCACCUGCCCAUGAUUCUUCUGAUGGAGACUCACAACAGGCUAUGGUCUGGGCUAUCUCUGUGGGGUGCAAUGUCUGCUCUCUGUAUCAAUACAGAGGGUGACAAACACUAUGUGGAUGCCGACCGGGGCUGCAGAGAUUUAACAGUGCCAUGGGGUCCCGAUUGCACUCACCAUCCACACCAUCAUGUAGGAGAAGGCUGCGAUCCACAGCGUGGAGGAAGCAAACGUCACCAUGAACCAUUUCUCCCAGCGCGGCUUGUUGCAGUUGGGUACAGUGAAGUAUAAGACGAAACUCAGCGGCCAGGUGAACGCCCAUUUCACUGUUUCCAGUUUACCCGCUGGAAAAAUGAAAAAGGCCAAAAAGAAAUAAAAAAAAAAUAACAAAGAA